rnacentral:rRNA from 1 species
UUCCGGUUGAUCCCGCCGCCGGACACUGCUAUCAGGUUUCGGCUAAGCCAUGCGAGUCUAGGGAUCGCAAGAUACCGGCAUACUGCUCAGUAACACGCGGAUAAUCUGCCCCCAGGUGAAGAAUACCCUCGGGAAACUGAGGCUAAUACUUCAUAAUCACUAUAUGCUGGAAUGCUUUGGUGAUGAAAGAAUUUCGCCUGAGGAUGAGUCUGCGGCCUAUCAGGUCGUAUGUGGUGUAAUGGACCACAUAGCCUAAGACGGGUACGGGCCUUGAAAGAGGGAGCCCGGAGAUGGACUCUGAGACAUUAGUCCAGGCCCUACGGGGCGCAGCAGGCGCGAAAACUGUGCAAUGCGCGAAAGCGCGACACGGGAAGCCUGAGUGCCUUAACACAGUUAAGGCUUUUCUCAAGCCUAAAAAGCUUGAGGAAUAAGAGCUGGGUAAGACGGGUGCCAGCCGCCGCGGUAACACCCGCAGCUCGAGUGGUGGUCACUUUUAUUGAGCCUAAAGCGUUUGUAGCCGGAUCCGUAAAUCUCCAGGCAAAUUCCUUCGCUUAACGAAGGAUCUUCUGGAGAGACUGCGGAUCUAGGGACCGGGUGAGGUUGAAUGUACUUCUGGGGUAGGGGUAAAAUCCUGUAAUCCUGGAAGGACGACCGGUGGCGAAGGCGUUCAACUGGAACGGAUCCGACGGUGAGGAACGAGGGCUAGGGGAGCAAACCGGAUUAGAUACCCGGGUAGUCCUAGCUGUAAACACUGCCCACUUGAUGUUGCAUCUCCGUGUAGGGGGUGUAGUGUCGUAGCGAAGGUGUUAAGUGGGCCGCUUGGGGAGUAUGGUCGCAAGGCUGAAACUUAAAGGAAUUGGCGGGGGAGCACCACAACGGGAGGAGCGUGCGGUUUAAUUGGAUUCAACGCCGGGA